AGAGUUUGAUCCUGGCUCAGAUUGAACGCUGGCGGCGUGCUUUACACAUGCAAGUCGAGCGGCAGCAUGACCUUCGGGUCGAUGGCGAGCGGCGAACGGGUGAGUAAUACAUCGGAACGUACCUUUUAGUGGGGGAUAACGCAUCGAAAGAUGUGCUAAUACCGCAUAAUCUCUGAGGAGGAAAGGCGGGGAUCACGCAAGUGACCUGUCGCUGAAAGAGCGGCCGAUGGUCGAUUAGCUAGUUGGCGGGGUAAAAGCCCACCAAGGCGAUGAUCGAUAGCGGGUCUGAGAGGACGAUCCGUCACACUGGGACUGAGACACGGCCCAGACUCCUACGGGAGGCAGCAGUGGGGAAUUUUGGACAAUGGGGGCAACCCUGAUCCAGCAACGCCGCGUGAAUGAAGAAGGCCUUAGGGUUGUAAAGUUCUUUUGUCAGGGAAGAAAGUUUCUGUGCUAAUACCAUAGAACGAUGACGGUACCUGAAGAAUAAGCACCGGCUAACUACGUGCCAGCAGCCGCGGUAAUACGUAGGGUGCAAGCGUUAAUCGGAAUUACUGGGCGUAAAGCGUGCGCAGGCGGAUAUGUAAGUUAGAAGUGAAAUCCCCGGGCUCAACCUGGGAACUGCUUUUAAGACUGCGUAUCUAGAGUUUGUCAGAGGGGGGUGGAAUUCCAAGUGUAGCAGUGAAAUGCGUAGAGAUUUGGAGGAACACCGAUGGCGAAGGCAGCCCCCUGGGAUAAAACUGACGCUCAUGCACGAAAGCGUGGGUAGCAAACAGGAUUAGAUACCCUGGUAGUCCACGCCCUAAACGAUGUCUACUUGCUGUUGGGGGUAACCUUAGUAGCGAAGCUAACGCGAGAAGUAGACCGCCUGGGGAGUACGGUCGCAAGAUUAAAACUCAAAGGAAUUGACGGGGACCCGCACAAGCGGUGGAUGAUGUGGAUUAAUUCGAUGCAACGCGAAAAACCUUACCU
rnacentral:rRNA from 1 species